rnacentral:rRNA from 1 species
UACGUAGGGGGCAAGCGUUGUCCGGAAUCAUUGGGCGUAAAGCGCGUGUAGGCGGCUCGAUAAGUCUGCUGUGAAAGUCCAAGGCUCAACCUUGGGAUGCCGGUGGAUACUGUCGAGCUCGAGUCCGGAAGAGGAGAGUGGAAUUCCUGGUGUAGCGGUGAAAUGCGCAGAUAUCAGGAAGAACACCUAUGGCGAAGGCAGCUCUCUGGGACGGUACUGACGCUGAGGAGCGAAAGCGUGGGGAGCGAACAGG